rnacentral:rRNA from 1 species
CUUUUCUGCACUGUAAGGAGGUGCCGGAAAAAGGGGUGGGCAAUACUGCUGCCAGCCGCCGCGGUAAUAGCAGAACCCCAAGUGGUAGUCGUUAUUAUUGGGCUUAAAGUGUUCGUAGCCGGCCGUGCAAGUCCGCUGUGAAAUCCAGGUGCUUAACAUCUGGGCGUGCAGCGGAUACUGCACUGGCUAGGGACCGGACGGUGUCGAGGCUAUUCCAGGAGUAGGGGUGAAAUCCUAAAAUUCCUGGAGGAGCGCCUGUGGCGGAAGCGCUCGACAAGUACGGAUCCGACGGUGAGGAACGAAAGCCAGGGGAGCAAAGCGGAUUAGAUACCCGGGUAGUCCUGGCCGUUAACAUUGCCUGUUUGAUGUCAGCCAACCUUCGGGGUUGGCUGGUGCCGAAGGAAAACGAUAAACG